AUGUCGGCGAGGGGCGUGGGAGCUGCCACCUUUCGCCUGCGGGACACCGGAGUCAAGAGGCUGUCCACGCCGCCGCCCGUCCCUUCCACGGUGCCGAGGUCUCCAGGGUCUCCCCGCGCGCGGCAGGCGGCACCAAACGCUGCGCUCCUGACGGUGCGCUCUGCCCUGGCAGUGCGCGCCCAGAGGAAAUCCGCCCAGGGCUUGGGAAGUGCAGGCCUGGGGGCUGCGUGCAAGUUUUCCCAAGCCAUUUCAGUCUGGAUAAGAACCAUUUCUGAGGAACUGGUGUGGUCAUUUGGAGGUAAGAAGACACUCUGGCUUUUUGAGUUGCCAGAGUUCUUGCAUUGGUUCUUCCUCAUCUUUAUCGGCUGAUGUACUUCGAGUCUUUGAAGUUGCUGUUUUUUGAGUGGGUGUUGCAGUAGGUUUUUGGUUUGUUCGCUUUCAUCUUCUUUGAUAUCCUUGGGAGUAUGACUGCGGUACAAGAAUGGUUCUGUUGACUGGCUUCGUUUCUGGAAGAUUCUAGGGGUCCGAGCCUCAGCUUAGCAUUCCUGGACUGUGUGCUCUAACUCUGUGGAUCUGUUAUCAUGCCCCUGGCAUUGUGUUCUCUGGCCCCUUGAGGUUAGGAACCUCCUGUGCUGAAGGGGCCAAGGUGUCCCUUUCCUGCUGGCCACAACACUGAUGGGUGGUGCCAGCCAAAGUGCUUUGUUGGAUGGUGGCAGCAAGAUCUGUUCUCUUUCAUAUGUGGCAGCAGCGACAAUGGUGCAUCUGAGUGCAUAUUUCUUGACUGAUAUGGGAGUGCCAGCCCCUGUGCAGGUAUUCAUAAUAGUGGUAACACAAGAUGAAGCAGGACUGCUGGCGUUCAUAUGUGCUUUCACAGUGACACUGGUGUCAACAUGGGGGUAGGAUGCUGAGUGGUGCGGACAUGCUAGCCUCUAUGCAGGCAUUCAUGACAGUGGUCGUUCUGGGAGGUGGAGGUACUAGCAUUUUUGUGUAUGUUCACACUGGCAGUGGUAUCAGCCUGGGAAUGGGGUACUGGUGGCCUCUGUGUGCAUAUUCACAUUGGGUGGCAGUGCAGGGCCACUGGUCUCUGUGUGUAUUCAUGCG
rnacentral:lncRNA from 1 species